rnacentral:tRNA from 1 species
UCCCUGGUGGUCCAGUGGUUAAGACUCUGCGCUUCCAGUGCAGGGUAUGCUGGUUUGAUCCCUGGUCAGGGAA